rnacentral:rRNA from 1 species
CCUGGUGGCCAUUGCGAGGAGCCUGUACCCGAUCCCAUCCCGAACUCGGCCGUAAAACUCCUCAGCGCCAAUGGUACUUCGUCUCAAGACGCGGGAGAGUAGGUCGCUGCCAGGC